rnacentral:rRNA from 1 species
UUAUGGAGAGUUUGAUCCUGGCUCAGGAUGAACGCUGGCGGCGUGCCUAAUACAUGCAAGUCGAGCGAACAGACGAGGAGCUUGCUCCUCUGACGUUAGCGGCGGACGGGUGAGUAACACGUGGGUAACCUACCUAUAAGACUGGGAUAACUCCGGGAAACCGGGGCUAAUACCGGAUAACACAUGAAACCGCAUGGUUUCAUGAUGAAAGACGGUUUUGCUGUCACUUAUAGAUGGACCCGCGGCGUAUUAGCUAGUUGGUAAGGUAACGGCUUACCAAGGCAACGAUACGUAGCCGACCUGAGAGGGUGAUCGGCCACACUGGAACUGAGACACGGUCCAGACUCCUACGGGAGGCAGCAGUAGGGAAUCUGCCGCAAUGGGCGAAAGCCUGACGGAGCAACGCCGCGUGAGUGAUGAAGGUCUUCGGAUCGUAAAACUCUGUUAUUAGGGAAGAACAAGGAUGUAAGUAACU